UACGUAGGCAGCAAGCGUUGUUCGGAGUUACUGGGCGUAAAGGGUGCGUAGGCGGCUUUUUAAGUUUGGUGUGAAAUCUCCCGGCUCAACUGGGAGGGUGCGCCGAAUACUGAGAGGCUAGAGUGUGGGAGAGGAAAGUGGAAUUCCUGGUGUAGCGGUGAAAUGCGUAGAUAUCAGGAGGAACACCGGUGGUGUAAACGGCUUUCUGGACCAUAACUGACGCUGAUGCACGAAAGCGUGGGGAGCAAAAGGG
rnacentral:rRNA from 1 species